GACGGAGGGCGCUAGCGUUGUUCGGAAUCACUGGGCGUAAAGGGCGCGUAGGCGGCCCAUGCCGUCGGCUCGUGAAAGCCCGGGGCUCAACCCCGGAGGUGCCGCCGAGACCCAUGGGCUGGAGGCCGGAAGAGGAGGGUGGAAUACCCAGUGUAGAGGUGAAAUUCGUGGAUAUUGGGUGGAACACCGGUGGCGAAAGCGGCUCUCUGGUCCGGUUCUGACGCUGAGGCGCGAAGGCGUGGGGAGCAAACAGG
rnacentral:rRNA from 1 species